GAUACCUUGGUGUGCAAAACAAGCCCCGUACUUCUGACCAAUCAGCGCUUUGAGCUAGCGGCCUGUAAAAAUAUGUCACAUCUGCACGACCACAGCCUUUUUUGUCCACAUGUUGUUGUUGUUGUCGUAGUUUCUUCAUUUGGCUUCGGAAAUAUCAUCUAAUGAAAGGUGGUGUUUGUUUUGGUGGGGCGGCUCGCCAUCCAAAUCCAACCAGCUGUCUGCGUGAAAUAGGGAAUGAACGACGAGACAGCAUCGGACAGCUGGAAGAGAAGCUCCGGGUGCUCCAGUAUUGAGCAAAUGCUGGCUGUGAAUCCCGGAAAGACGCCAAUUAGUCUGCUGCAGGAGUAUGGAACGCGGAUAGGCAAGACCCCCGUGUAUGACCUACUGAAGGCUGAGGGACAGGCCCAUCAGCCCAACUUUACGUUCCGCGUUUCCGUGGGAGAGAUCAACUGCACCGGCCAAGGACCCAGCAAGAAGGCGGCGAAGCACAAAGCAGCAGAGGCUGCUCUGAAGAUGCUCAAGGGAGGCUUCGCAGGCCCCGCCGCAAUUGGUGUCGAAGGAGACGUGUUUAUCGGGGUUUCCGUGCCUGCUGAUGGAGAGAGCUCCCAAUCGGAAAUGAAGACUUUAGUCACUUCUCAACAGUCUGAAUGUAAUCCUGUUGGAGCACUACAGGAAUUGGUUGUGCAGAAAGGAUGGCGUCUGCCAGAGUACACCGUGACACAGGAGUCUGGUCCGGCACACCGCAAAGAAUUUACCAUGACCUGCAGAGUGGAGAGAUUCAUGGAAAUUGGAAGCGGCACGUCCAAGAAGCUGGCCAAGAGGAACGCAGCGGCCAAAAUGUUGGCGCGGAUACAUGACGUCCCGGUCGACCUGAGGACCAGCAAUGAUGCCGACCCGGAGGAGGAUACGUUUAAUAUGAACACGGGGAGCAGGGCGGAGUCGUGCAAGAGCAAAGGCUACAGCUGCACGUGGGACUCCCUGAGAAACUCCGCCGGAGAGAAGAUCCUGCAACUCCGCAGUCACCCUCUGGGCAUACCCUCUGACUCCAACUUCUGCUCGCUGCUCAAUGACCUGUCCACAGAGCAGUGCUUUGACAUCAGCUACCUGGAUCUCGAGGAGCCCAGCCUGAGCGGGCUGCGCCAGUGUUUGGUAGAACUGUCGACUCAGCCAAUCACUGUGUGCCACGGCUUCGCCCCCAGCCUGGAAGCUGCUCGGGCCAACGCGGCCCACAAUGCACUGCAGUACCUCAAAAUUAUGGCUGGCGGGAAGUGAGCAGGCCGAUUGUGUCUUGUUCCAGCAGGCAUCAAUACACAGGCUGGGGUCCUCCUGGUGUAUCCGUCUGAUCUGCGAGUCCAGAAAAAGACUGAAGUCGAUGCCCUGAGCUUGAGACGGGAAGGUGAGGAAGCGAGGAGGGACGCGGACGGCAAGAUCCGGAUCGUCGCAGCCGAAACCCAACUCAUAGAGCGUGUCUUCUGCAUCCUCAGAACGCAGCUUUACCACCUCAGGAACACUACAUACUACGUCACAGAUCCUGACAUGCCCACAACACAGACACACCAGAUGCCCUAAGAAAUUUGCAUCUACUGAAUCUCGCGGAACACAGUUCAGCCCUCAUAUGGUAUCUGUUGGCACAUAUAUGUGGUUGUGUCCGUCGAAGAGAAGUAUGGCCACGCAGCUGUCCUACAGUACGCUGCAACGCGUGAGAAGCAAAGGGACCCAGGUCACCAUUUCAGAUUUGAGUGUUGGCACAUCGACCAAACAGCUGGACACGGCGCCACGUUUUUUUCCCACGCCAGGGGUUCCACCAGUUAAGAGACCACACAUUAAAUUAGAAGAGAGCGAGGACGAGGAUCAAGACAAUGAAGAAACUCUUCUUCCACACGCCUUAAAGUACGAAUCCGGUGACUCCAUUACAGAGUCGUCUGAAAUUAGUGGAGAAGAGUCGAACAUGGAACACAAUGACAGAAAGUACCUGGUGUUUGAGAGCUGUCUGAUGGAUCUCUUCCAAACAUGUCCGGUGUGCAACCGGGACUGUCAGGUGCAGUCUCAGAGACUAGGGACAUAUGUGGCCUUUACUCAGCUUUGCCUCCACUGCCAGUACACCAGAAAAUGGCAGAGCCAACCGUUGAGAGGAAGCACUCCUGUGGAAAACCUCCAAUUGUCUGCAGCUUUUAAUAGUGCUGACGGAUCCUGCAAUCGGAUGGACAAGAUAGUCAAAACGGAAUUUCCAGAUGUGAUAACAUGACACCUUAAGUAUGCAUGCCCGGAAUCUUUUUGAACCCGCAAUAAACAACAAAUGGAAAAAGACUCCGCAGCCUCUGAAACAGGAAAGCAGUAUGGCAGUGGGUGGAAAUAUGGACUCAGACUCACCAGGUGAGGAGUCUUUUAAUAUCGAAUGACUUGCUUUUGGGGGCUGUCUUCCACCGAGAAUGAUCAUAGUGGAAUAUAAUUUGUUAAAUUUUGCAUAUAGUCGACAUUCAGUCAAAUCAAUGGUGUUGUGUUGUUGUUGUUUUUUAAAGUGAAAUAAAGAGAUUGCGACGAUA